GUACUUUCAUUCUAAGGUUUCACAAAGGUGUAAGAGAAACAAGAUUACUAGCAUUCUUAGUGCUGAUGGAAGAUGGUGUGAUGAUGGGGAGAUGUAUGCUGAGAUUUUGAAGCAUGACAAUGAGGUGUUCUGUUCCAUUAAUCAUGGUAAUAGGGAGAACUUGUUACCUAUUAUACAACCAAGAGUUACUGAAGCUAUAAACUCAUCCUUAGAUGAUGUUUUCCAUCCUGAUGAAGUCUUGUGUGCCUAAACUCAGAUGCAUCCUCACAAAUCCCCAGGAUUGGAUGGUAUGUUUCAUUUUUUCUUUAAGCAAUAUUGGCUUCUGGUGAGUGAAGGUGUUACAAAAGCUGUUUUAUCCAUUUUGAAUUAUGGACAAUUACCUAUUGAAUUAAACCAUACUUUUAUUGUUUUGAUUCCUAAAUUGAAUAAUCCUACUAAGGUUGGAGACUAUUGGCCUAUUAGUUUGUGCAAUGUGAUUUACAACUUAGUAUCCAAAGUGCUGGCAAACAUAUUGAAGAGGAUCUUAUCACUCAUUAUGUCGGAAAACCAGAGUGCUUUUGUUCUGGGCAAGCAAAUUUCUGAUAAUUUUAUUAUUGCUUUUAAUCUUAUUAAUUUCUUACACCAUAAAACUUAGGGGAAGAAAGGUUUUAUGUCUAUUAAACUUGAUAUCAAUAAAAUAUGAGAGUGAAAUAGUGUUUCCUUGAAAGUGUCAUGAGGUAAAUGGGUUUUAAUGACAAGUGGGUAUCUUUAAUAAUGAUGGUAUUUCCACUGUAUCUUACACCAUUUAGUGAAUGGUAUUCCUAAAGGGCCUAUUAUUCCUUCUUGGGAUUAAGACUAGGGGAUCCUAGCAUCUUUAUUGAGUCUCAGCCUUGUUAAGAUGUUGGUGCUUUUAUUCUAUGUUUGCAGCAGAAUGUGAUCGAUCUGAAUUUUUUUGAGUUCUUGACAAUAGCUUGGAGUUUAUGGUAUAGAAGAAAUUUGGCUAUUUUUCAAAGCAAAUACAUUGCACCUGAUGUUGCUGUUCAAAAUGUUUUUAAUUUGUUUUGGAGCUAUCAGCAGGUACAUUCUCAACAAAAAUUAGUAGAUAGAGCAUUGUCUUCUAUUGUGGUAAAAACCUUUUUCUGGUAGUGUUAAGUUGAAUGUGGAUGAGGCUCUUUUAUAUGAUUUAAUUAAGUUUGGUGUGGGUGCUGUUUUAAGGGAUGAUUGUGGACCUGUUUUACUGGUUGUGUGCAAUGUGGUGAAUUGAGUUUGUACAGUUUCAGUGGAAGCUCUUGCCAUUCUCAGGGGUUUGCAAUUCAUUUCUCAUAUAGGAUUCCAAGUUGUCGAGUUCCAUCAUAUUCCUCAUGAAGCAAAUUCAAUAGCACAUACUUUGGCUAGAUUUUGU